AUGUGGGUGGAGAUGUUGCGGAUAAAGGACCAGGCCCUGGAGUACUUCCGCAAGAUCAAGGCGAUCUCUGAAAAUGAGCGUGGUCUGAAGCUAAUGGCCUUCGGGAGCGACCGUGGCGGCGAGUUUAACUCCAUGGCGUUCGCAAGCUUCUGCAAUGAGUCUGGUGUGAAGCGGUACACGACGGCGCCCUACUCUCCGCAACAAAAUGGCGUCGUCGAGAGGCGCAACCAGUCGGUGGUGGAGAUGGCGUGUUGUCUCCUUAAGGUGAUGAACGUGCCCUCUGUCUUCUGGGCAGAGGCGGUGAAGACGGCGGUCCACAUACUCAAUCGAUCGCCGACGCGCGCACUAGACGAAGUCACGCCAUAUGAGGCGUGGCAUGGGCGAUGGCCAAACGUCAGCUACUUCCGCACAUUUGGCUGCAGAGUACACGUCAAGCAUGUCGGCCCAGGUACUAGCAAGCUCUCUGAUCGGUCGGCUCCAAUGGUGUUUCUUGGCUAUGAGGAUGGCAGCAAGGCGUACCGCGUGUAUGACCCGGCCACCCGCAAGCUGCACAUCACCAGGGAUGUGGUGUUCGAGGAACAUGUUCCCUGGGUUUCGAGCGGUGCGCCUGAUGCGGUGACCACGGGUGCAGCGGUCAGCACAUUCACGGUGGAGUACCACAUCGACACCACUGCCGUCCACUGCGACAGCGGGGAGCUGCACACUCGAGGCUCACCUCCACCCACGCCAGCACCGCCGACGCCCUCACCACCGACACCAGGAGAACCAGCCACGCCCUCGCUGGUGCAGUUUGUCACACCAACCACGGGCGAGACGUAUGUGGAGGAUGGUGCCCCUCUUCGGCACCGCACCAUGAAGGACGCUGUCGAGCACGCCCAGCCUGUCACGUUGGAGUACAGUGGGUUGUGCCUCGUUGCGGCGGAGGAGCCAGCCAACAUCGAGCAGGCCCUGGGCGAGGCGUGCUGGAAGGAGGCCAUGGACGCCGAGAUGAAGGCGAUCACGGAGAACCGGACCUGGGAGUUUAUCGAGCUCCCGAGUGGCUACCACGCCAUAGGCCUUAAAUGGGUCUACAAGGUGAAGAAAGAUCCCCAAGGUAACAUUAUCAAGUACAAAGCUUGCUUAGUGGCAAAGGGUUAUGCACAGAGGCAGGGCAUCGACUAUGAUGAGGUGUUCGCGCCGGUCGCGCGGAUGGAGACGGUGCGUGUUCUGCUCGCACUAACGGCGCACAGCGGCUGGGAAGUACAUCACAUGGAUGUGAAGUCGGUGUUUCUCAAUGGAGAUCUCGCCGAGGAGGUGUACGUGCAGCAGCCACCGGGGUACGACGGUGCGGAUCGCGGCCGGAGCAUGCUCCGUCUGCGCAAGGCGCUCUACGGUCUGCGACAGGCACCGAGGGCUUGGAAUUCCAAGCUGGACGCCACCCUUCUAGAGCUGGGGUUCGAGCGCAGCCCAUACGAGCACGACGUCUACCGCAAGCUGGCCGGAGAUGCAUCUCUGCUUGUGGGGGUGUAUGUAGAUGACCUGAUCAUCACCGGCAGCCGUGUUGACAAGAUCAAAGAUUUCAAGGCACAGAUGAUGGAGAAGUUCAGCAUGAGCGAUCUUGGCUUGCUGUCGUACUACCUCGGUGUCGAGGUGGAGCAGUCCAGGAUGGCGGUCACGAUCUGUCAGAGCAGCUACGCCUGCAAGAUCGUCGAGGAUUUUGGCUUGAAGGGGUGCAAUCCGCGCUCUACGCCCAUGGAGAAUCAGCUCAGCCUGUCAAAGGAAGAUGGUAGCUCGCCGGAGGAUGCCACUGCGUAUCGUAGCGUGGUGGGCAGCCUCAGAUACCUUGUCAACAGAAGGCCGGAUAUUUCCUACGCAGUGGGCAUCGUCAGUAGGUACAUCGAAUCACCCACCACACAGCACAUGGCGGCUGUCAGGCAUAUACUUCGGUACAUCAGCGGGACGGCGGACUAUGGGCUGAGAUAUGAGAAACAUACUGACGGAGAGCCUGAAUUGAUGGGCUACAGUGACAGUGAUCAUGUCGGUGACGUCGAUGAUCGGAAGAGCACGUCGGGGAUCUUCUUCUUCCUCGGGUGCAGUCCGAUUUCUUGGGCAUCAUAG
rnacentral:rRNA from 1 species